rnacentral:lncRNA from 1 species
UAGAUUUGACAACUCUUAAAAAUACAAAGGUUAAUGAUAGGAGGGGUUCAAAAAGAUCAUUACUUUUUGUUUAAGAAAUUAUUUUAAUAUGUUACUUCACCACAAAGCAAGGGCAAAUUUGAAAUUAUUGUAAAAGUAUAAUGGUAUUUUGAAAGUUAGUGUAUUCGAAUUUUACUUGUAGAGUGUCAUUGUCCUCAAGUAAAAAUUUUAAUUUUACCCUUUAUAGAGAUGAUAAAAGUACCUAUUUCAAUUUUACCAAAUAGUUUUGGUCAUUACUACUCGCUUUUAUAUUUUCCCAUCUUUUUUAAAAAAAAUUAAAAGGGUGUGGUAGGCAUACGGAUGCAUCCGUAGCUGUAGAGGUUAGGUG